UUGGGAAUCUUGGACAAUGGGGGAAACCCUGAUCCAGCCAUGCCGCGUGAGUGAUGAAGGCCUUCGGGUUGUAAAGCUCUUUUACCCGGGAAGAUAAUGACUGUACCGGGAGAAUAAGCUCUGGCUAACUUCGUG
rnacentral:rRNA from 1 species